UUCCAAAUCUCUGGCUUGUGAAUAGGUUC
rnacentral:piRNA from 2 species